rnacentral:rRNA from 1 species
CCUACGGGCGGCAGCAGUGGGGAAUAUUGGACAAUGGGCGAAAGCCUGAUCCAGCCAUGCCGCGUGUGUGAAGAAGGCCUUCGGGUUGUAAAGCACUUUCAGUGGGGAAGAAAGCCUUGGGGCUAAUACCCUCGAGGAAGGACAUCACCCACAGAAGAAGCACCGGCUAACUCCGUGCCAGCAGCCGCGGUAAUACGGAGGGUGCGAGCGUUAAUCGGAAUUACUGGGCGUAAAGCGCGCGUAGGCGGUCUGAUAAGCCGGUUGUGAAAGCCCCGGGCUCAACCUGGGAACGGCAUCCGGAACGGUCAGGCUAGAGUGCAGGAGAGGAAGGUAGAAUUCCCGGUGUAGCGGUGAAAUGCGUAGAGAUCGGGAGGAAUACCAGUGGCGAAGGCGGCCUUCUGGACUGACACUGACGCUGAGGUGCGAAAGCGUGGGUAGCAAACAGGAUUAGAUACCCUUGUAGUC